CGAAACCAGUCCCUGGUGCCAAAGAGGUUGGGGACCGCUGCUUUAGAGGACCGACAAUCCUCAAUUUGGAAUUCCAAAGAUGUACACAUUUAGAUUUGGAUAGGAAAGAUGCACUUGCAGUUAAGCAUUCCUAUUGGAAGUAUCGCAUGGGCAAGGCCCAAGGAUGGAAAAGGUGAGGGGAAAACAGACUGAGGACGAAAAGGAAAAGAGUUGAAGAUGAUCAUCUAUGUCUGAAGAAGAACCGCUGGAAUAACAAAGUUAUUUCCUAUCAUAAACAGGCAUCUGGCCAAUACUGUGAAGUAUUUGAGAUAAUGGAAGUGCUCCAGCCGACAAACAUAUUCUCAAAGACACAUUUACCUCUGUGAUGCAGCUAGUGAUAACUCAAAGGCCUCCUGCUCUGCAAAACCUCACCAAGCCCAAUUUAUGUUCCACUCAUGAAAUAAACAAGUCUUAGC